rnacentral:rRNA from 1 species
GGCCCUACGGGGCGCAGCAGGCGCGAAAACUUUACAAUGCGGGAAACCGUGAUAAGGGGACACCGAGUGCCAGCAUCAUAUGCUGGCUGUCCAGGUGUGUAAAAUACACCUGUUAGCAAGGGCCGGGCAAGACCGGUGCCAGCCGCCGCGGUAACACCGGCGGCCCGAGUGGUAAUCGUGAUUAUUGGGUCUAAAGGGUCCGUAGCCGGUUUGGUCAGUCCUCCGGGAAAUCUGAUAGCUCAACUAUUAGGCUUUCGGCGGAUACUGCCAGAC